UGAGUUAGCGGCGGACGGGUGAGUAACACGUGGGCAACCUGCCUGUAAGACUGGGAUAACUUCGGGAAACCGGAGCUAAUACCGGAUAAUCCUUUUCCUCUCAUGAGGAAAAGCUGAAAGUCGGUUUACGCUGACACUUACAGAUGGGCCCGCGGCGCAUUAGCUAGUUGGUGAGGUAACGGCUCACCAAGGCGACGAUGCGUAGCCGACCUGAGAGGGUGAUCGGCCACACUGGGACUGAGACACGGCCCAGACUCCUACGGGAGGCAGCAGUAGGGAAUCUUCCGCAAUGGACGAAAGUCUGACGGAGCAACGCCGCGUGAGCGAUGAAGGCCUUCGGGUCGUAAAGCUCUGUUGUUAGGGAAGAACAAGUACCGGAGUAACUGCCGGUACCUUGACGGUACCUAACCAGAAAGCCACGGCUAACUACGUGCCAGCAGCCGCGGUAAUACGUAGGUGGCAAGCGUUGUCCGGAAUUAUUGGGCGUAAAGCGCGCGCAGGCGGUCCUUUAAGUCUGAUGUGAAAGCCCACGGCUCAACCGUGGAG
rnacentral:rRNA from 1 species